AAAUAGCCCCUAUGUAUUGAAUCUUUGGCAAUUUUGGCAUCCAAUGCCACUUUUGACUUAGUCUUCGCUGACGUGGCACCCACAAUAGUCGACACGUGGCACCUCACUUAAGUAAUGUGGGUGCCACGUCAACGAAGACUAAGUCAAAAGUGGUCUUCGGGGCCAAAAAUGCCAAAGAUCCAAUACAUAGGGGACUGUUU
rfam:Medicago truncatula strain A17 chromosome 6, whole genome shotgun sequence.